rnacentral:rRNA from 1 species
AGUGAACGCUGGCGGUAGGCCUAACACAUGCAAGUCGAACGGCAGCACAGUAAGAGCUUGCUCUUACGGGUGGCGAGUGGCGGACGGGUGAGGAAUACAUCGGAAUCUACUUUUUCGUGGGGGAUAACGUAGGGAAACUUACGCUAAUACCGCAUACGACCUACGGGUGAAAGCAGGGGAUCUUCGGACCUUGCGCGAUUGAAUGAGCCGAUGUCGGAUUAGCUAGUUGGCGGGGUAAAGGCCCACCAAGGCGACGAUCCGUAGCUGGUCUGAGAGGAUGAUCAGCCACACUGGAACUGAGACACGGUCCAGACUCCUACGGGAGGCAGCAGUGGGGAAUAUUGGACAAUGGGCGCAAGCCUGAUCCAGCCAUCCCGCGUGGGUGAAGAAGGCCUUCGGGUUGUAAAGCCCUUUUGUUGGGAAAGAAAAGCAGCAGGUUAAUACCACGCUGUUGUGACGGUACCCAAAGAAUAAGCACCGGCUAACUUCGUG